AUCUUCUGUCGACAGCCCCGCGCUUAAGAAUGCAGAAAAGUCGGUGCACAACUGUGCCCGAGAAUGUUCCACUGUCGGAACAGCUGGAAUAGCUGUGGAUCGUUCUGGCUUGACUGCGACUUUCGCCUCGAUCCGAGCUUCAGCAGAUGGAGCUGCCGACAGUACUGCUGUAGCUCCAUCUUUUUUGCCGCCCCAUCUUCAGUGGACGGCACCUCAGGG
rnacentral:lncRNA from 1 species